rnacentral:rRNA from 1 species
UACGGAGGAUGCGAGCGUUAUCCGGAUUUAUUGGGUUUAAAGGGUGCGUAGGCGGACUGUCAAGUCAGCGGUAAAAUUGCGGGGCUCAACCUCGUCGAGCCGUUGAAACUGGGUGCCUUGAGUGGGCGAGAAGUACGCGGAAUGCGUGGUGUAGCGGUGAAAUGCAUAGAUAUCACGCAGAACUCCGAUUGCGAAGGCAGCGUACCGGCGCCCAACUGACGCUGAAGCACGAAGGCGUGGGUAUCGAACAGG